UCCCAGUUUGUCCUUGGUGCCUACCAUGUC
rnacentral:piRNA from 1 species